GACGAACGCUGGCGGCGUGCUUAACACAUGCAAGUCGAACGAUGAUCUCCCGCUUGCGGGGGUGCUUAGUGGCGAACGGGUGAGUAAUACGUGAGUAACCUGCCCUUGACUCUGGGAUAAGCCUGGGAAACCGGGUCUAAUACUGGAUACUACUUCCUGCCGCAUGGUGGGGGGUGGAAAGGGUUUUACUGGUUUUGGAUGGGCUCACGGCCUAUCAGCUUGUUGGUGGAGUAAUGGCUCACCAAGGCGACGACGGGUAGCCGGCCUGAGAGGGUGACCGGCCACACUGGGACUGAGACACGGCCCAGACUCCUACGGGAGGCAGCAGUGGGGAAUAUUGCACAAUGGGCGGAAGCCUGAUGCAGCGACGCCGCGGGAGGGAUGACGGCCUUAGGGUUGUAAACCUCUUUCAGCAGGGAAGAAGCCACAAGUGACGGUACCUGCAGAAGAAGCGCCGGCUAACUACGUG
rnacentral:rRNA from 1 species